rnacentral:rRNA from 1 species
GACGAACGCUGGCGGCGUGCCUAAUACAUGCAAGUGGGACGCAAGGAAACACACUGUGCUUGCACACCGUGUUUUCUUGAGUCGCGAACGGGUGAGUAACGCGUAGGUAACCUGCCUAUUAGCGGGGGAUAACUAUUGGAAACGAUAGCUAAUACCGCAUAAUAUUAAUUAUUGCAUGAUAAUUGAUUGAAAGAUGCAAGCGCAUCACUAGUAGAUGGACCUGCGUUGUAUUAGCUAGUUGGUAAGGUAAGAGCUUACCAAGGCGACGAUACAUAGCCGACCUGAGAGGGUGAUCGGCCACACUGGGACUGAGACACGGCCCAGACUCCUACGGGAGGCAGCAGUAGGGAAUCUUCGGCAAUGGACGAAAGUCUGACCGAGCAACGCCGCGUGAGUGAAGAAGGUUUUCGGAUCGUAAAGCUCUGUUGUAAGUCAAGAACGUGUGUGAGAGUGGAAAGUU